UUUUGUUAUUUCCAAAACUCUUU
rnacentral:snRNA from 1 species